GGGGCUGACUGGCUUUGACAGCGAGAUGAAAUGGUUUGUAAGCAUGCAGUGCAUAGUCGGCUGGCACUAUAAUCUUAGACGUCACAAAUUUAACUGGCAAUAACAAUUACGCUCUUGCUGCUUAAUCGAAGUAUAGUAGAUAUAGCUUAAUCCUUGCACAGGUGUAAGGACAAGACAUCACCCGGAAGCUGUGGCUUCGAAGCGUACCGAUAAGGUGGUGCAGGCAAAUCGGAGAUAGGAUAGGAGAGGCUUCGGCUUUUAUCUGAAAUAAAGAAGCUAAGGUUUAGAUUGGUGGCUUCGGUCUUGUCUACUCCCUACAAUUUAAGCGAAGAUAAGCAUGUAGAAAGCAAAUUAGUUCCUUGUUUGGACGAGGGUUCAAUUCCCUCCAGCUCCACAA
rfam:Dysgonomonas gadei ATCC BAA-286 genomic scaffold supercont1.6, whole genome shotgun sequence.